rnacentral:rRNA from 1 species
UUCAAGGAGAGGGAAAUUAAGGAGGGCCCUUGGGAGGAAGGAGGGGAUGCGGACAAUGUGUGGAUGAAGAUGGCGACUUGCAUUCGUAAGGUGGCCUUGGAGGAGUUUGGAGUGUCCAGGGGAAGGAGAAGCGAAGAUAAGGAUACCUGGUGGUGGAAUGAUGAUGUCCAGAAGGCGAUUAAAGAGAAGAAAGAUUGCUUCAGAUGCCUAUACCUGGAUAGGAGUGCAGACAACAUAGAGAAGUACAAGAUGGCGAAGAAGGCUGCAAAGCAAGCUGUUGGUGAAGCAAGGGGUCGGGCAUAUGAGGACCUCUACCAACGGUUAGGCACGAAGGAAGGUGAAAGGGACAUCUAUAAGAUGGUUAAGAUCCGGGAGAGGAAGACGAGGGAUAUUGGCCAAGUCAAAUGCAUCAAGGACGGAGCAGGCCAACUCUUGGUGAAGGACGAACAGAUUAAGCAUAGAUGGAGAGAGUACUUCGACAAGCUGUUCAAUGGGGAGAAUGAGAGUUCUACCAUUGAACUG